AAUUCGAAUGUGGAUGUGGAUACGGUCGGAGUUUAUCCGCCCCGUUUUCAGCCGUACCUGUCCUCAAUCAUCCAUUCGCUGUGCACCCUUUCGCAUCGUCCCAGUCCCGGCAGUCUCCAGUGAGGUGGGUUCGGGGGAGGGAGCCGAGGAGGGUGGAGAAGACAGCGGGUGAGGGGGAGGAGGGGAGAGAGGAGGCAGCCCUUUAGAAGAAGGCGAGCUUGGCGGCGGAGGGGAGGAAGGGGCGACAGAGGAGGUGGAGGAUGGCAGAGUUUGGCAGGGGGGAUGGGAGAAUGGCAGGGUGGGUCCGUUCAAAACGGGCUGAGCCCCAAAGCAUCUCCCACCUCCGGAGCCAAAGUAGGCCUUACUCAAGAGGAGGUGAGGCGGCGAAAACGAGAGGACGUGGGAGGGGAGAGGGAGAACCUUGCCGUACGUAGGCAUGGCUUCCAGUGACUUAUAAUCUAAGAUGCUAGGGAUAUUCUUACCUCAAGAUGGAGGAAAGACCGUCAAAGUAAUGGUGGAGAUCGGGAUCAUGAUCGAGGCGGAGGCCGCGGUGGCGAUGAUAAUAGAAUUGGGCGUUGCCUCCAUGCCGGAGUUGCUGGCGACGCUGAUCCCCGCCGCGCAGAGGCUGGCCCAGCCACCCAUUCCCUAACGUGAUCCUCCAUCUUCUCAUGCCCACAAUUGGUCGAUCGGUAAAGCCUAACGCCUGCCUCCUACUCGCUUGAGGAAGGAUGUUUGAUCGUUGGCCUGCUGGAUUCCUCCAACUCUUACUGUCCUCUUGAACCAGCACCGUUGAAUACUGAAGAUUGAGAGGAUUAAUCUGGAUCAGCACCAAUGAAUGCAAAUCUCUAGCUCCUCGAUGGUCGACCCCUAAUUCCGACGAGCUCGAUGAAGAAUAGUUGGAAGCACAAGAGAAGAUGAAUCCCUUCGGGUGAUGGCUAGCGGUUGAUCGUUGCUAGUGUUUGAAAGGGGCUUGAUCUCCUUUAAAUAAGGCCAGAGGGGAGGAGUCCAACUCCUCUCCAGCUUUAUCUUUCAUUGGGAUUUCGAGAAGAAGAAGACUCCCGAUGUGAGUCAACCAAUUCCCCCUCCCAGAUAGCAUGUGCAUGGGACGUGCUAACAAUUUUUUCUUUGUUCUUUUUUUUUUAUUAUUGUUUCUAUUAUGGGCCACUUAUACUUACCAGGCUGGUCAAGUGGACCACGCCUACUAUAUUAUAAAGCUUGGAUGGGUCGGGUUGCCACAGUUACAUUUGUAUUAUAUUCUCUUUGAUACCAUAUCAGCUAGACAAAUCAUUUUAUUCUAAAUUAGAGUUGGGGCAUGCAUAACUCAUGUGAGGGAAAGCAUGGAUUGCU